rnacentral:sRNA from 12 species
CUUGUGGACUGUUAUAGCAAAUGAGAGUAGUAUAUCUCACGGUAUAAGAACAAAACCAGACAGGUUGAAGCAAGAA